UUGUAUGAUAUACUUCAGGGCAGCUGUUAGACGCCAUUGAUAUAUGUGAGAAAAAACAGACAUGCCCAUUUUCAAUAUUGUCCCAGCUGACGUCACUGGCGGUCAAGCUCGGGACUACAUGCGAACGCGCCUUGCCGUACGUUGAACAAACAGACCCCGCCUACUACGAACGUUUCCUGCAUACCAUAGACGCCCCCUAUAGGCUGCCUUACCAAGUUACAUCCUUCUCCGAUGAGGAGGUAGAAGCUGUAUCGAUCGGAAAAGACUCUCUACGACGAAGACAAAGGAGAUGCGUGUUAUGCAAGACUCUUGGGGACAUAUGAAGAAGGCGGAAGUCGUAUCGGGAAAUGUAACGCCACUAAGACCUGUGUUGACAUGAUGACGUCAGAGGGAACGUCUGGAUACGUCACCACUCACCGGUUACUUUACUUCAUCGUCAUGGAAAAUGUGAAAUGUCGAGAGAAAGUGGAGGAAUUUAUAGGAAAUAAAGAAGUAGCUAAACUUCAGAAGGGGC